CAACUACGGACUCUCACUUUACCAGCUUCAAAUAUUUUCCAAAUUACACUACAGGUCUUAAAUAAACCAUAUCUAGAACACCAAGGAAUCAGCCAACUUGGAACAAAGGAAAGAGAUCCAUCUUUUAGAACUUCCAAAUUUCUACAUUCACUUGGCAUCAUUAGAAUGUCGAAAGAAAUCCAGAGUGUGGGGCAUCUGUGUGAAAUACUAAAAUUUUAUUUUCAAGCCUUCUAUGCGUCAUCUCUCUUACUCUUUUUGCCUAAGACAACAAUGGUAGAGGAAAAUCUACUACCUUAUUUCGUUACUGCUUAUAAGCUAUGGUAGCUUCCGAAGGGAAAGGAUGAGGUACAUAAGGGAGGUUGGCUAUUGUAAUACUUGAUUAGGAAAAGGAUAAAGUUACUUGCCUUUUUGAUUUGUUGGGUGAAUGCUCAUGAAAUAUUUAUGUUAUACAACAGAUCUAUAGUUGUACUUAUUUAGAGUCCCAUACAGUAUUGUACUAUCACUUGGAAUAACAAAAUUUCUAUGCGGAAUGAUGUUGUAUAUGUAUUUUUAGUUAUGUUGUGACUUCUUAGUGUUGAUGAUAUUUUUCAUUCUAUGGCUGAUUGCAAUCAUAAUUUAAAUAGCUCUUUGUUUGGUAUAUGAGGAGACUACUGUAUUAAUCAAGAACGUAGUACACUUUUAAUGAUUAGAAAUGGGGUUUUUACUGCCAUUUAACCCCUUUUGUUUUAAGUUAUGGGAAGAAGUUGAUCCACAUUACUUGUUCUUUGUUUGUAGUAUCCACAAAAUGUUAAAUAGAACCUGAUGCAGAUUCCUUGUUUUCAAUGUAAAAAAAUAAUAGCAGAGGUGAAACUAACACAAGGUUUAUUGUACUGAUAUUACAUUUCCUUGAAUUUUCAAAAUCCCGGGAUUCCAAGCAUGUUAAACUAUAAACUUGCAUUGCUCUUACAGUCCAUGUCAUUUGAGACAUGAAAUUUGAUCUUUUUCUGUAUUCAUUCUCUACAAGAGUGCAAGUAUAUGCGGAGCAAAUAGUCCCCAAUGUUUAUGUACCAUAUCUGCUAAUCUGAAAGUUCUGUAUAAAAUUGUAUUUCUCAUUUUUUUCCUGGAGCACCUAAUUGAGAAUAACUGACAAUUCUGAAGAUCUGUACAUGUCUAUGAAUGAAAAUGAGAAAAUUUCAGUUAAUAUCUUUCAAAUGAUGCAUUCACUACUUACUUCAAAGCUAAAGAGUUAUUGAUGGAUUUAUAUAUCGUUUUAAUUGUUGUUUGUCUAUGACAUGAUUGUAAGACAGCUGGGUGCAUUUGAUACUCAAAAGUUAAACUCUGUAUAUAACUUAAUCUGUUAACUGACAUACCCCAUUAGGAUAAAUUGAUAUAUACAUGUAGGUAACUUAGUGUUUACUGUUUAGUCACAUAAAAUUUAUCUGCGGUAUAAGAAAAAGAAUCUCAAGAAUGGUCUUGCUGAUAUUAAAAGUGGUUGCGACAAGUGCACAUUCAAAAUAAAUAGGUUUUCAACUGAUCCAGUACCUCCUUAGUAUACUGGUACUCAUAAUUCUUCUAUUAGGAGAUGCUUUUUAUAUUUAGACUGUUUUGUGCUUGAUUAGGUUAUUUAAUACGUAGAAAGUGGAGUUGGAGCUACAGACAAGCAGAAAAGAAACUUAUUACCAACUAUAACUCUUUCCAUGAUCACCAAUGCUCGUCAGCUAAGGCAGCAUGAAAAGCAUGUAGUAGAAGGGGUUGCAGUGAAUAGGUUGGAACUUAGACACUAAAGAUGAGGUUGAUAGAGCUUUUCUUGAAAAUCCAAGGAGAAGACAAAGGUGCACCUAACAUAUGCUAGCAUAACUUAUAAAGACACAUUUUGAAGCGGAUACUGAGAUGAAAGUAUGUGCAAUCAACUGCAGCAUGUUUAAGUUAGACCACCAACAUGAACAUGAAUAAUUUAUUUUUUUUGUAUUUCUCAUUCUCAAGGAAGCAUAUUUAAGAAUGUAAUUGUACAACUUUAUUCUACAAAUGAAUGUACGUAAUAUGAAGCAUGUUAUGUUAA